AACAAAGAUUGAGUUCAUAUUGUGCCUAUCACAUAGUAUUUCCCUUACUUGGGAUUCAUUUAAGUUGUGGGUAUUAAUUUUUAUGGAAAUAAGAACAAGACUGUCCAAUUUACAGCAAAUGUGGGUUUUCUAUGUUUUUAGGCACUUUAAGUCUUUUUUGACCCACCACAUUCUCUGCUCAUUUUCCAUGUUUUCCAAACUAUCAAGGACCAGAACUCGUAAAUGGCCAAAUUUAAAAUUGUCAAAACAAAGCUUGACCAACAUUUUUGUCAUUCGUAUUAAGAGCAUAUUAUAUUUCAAAUCAUUGGUAGAAGGGUUCAUAAGUUAUAGAAUGGAAAUCACUUAAAAGUGCAAUUUUUACACAUUUUACAACAAGGAUCAUUCCUCCUAAAUGGUAUAAGUGAAAAAAGUCAAUAUCAAUUUAACCUUUAUUUUGAGCCUACAACUUCUAUCGCAAAGGCUUAACAUAUGGAAAGCGAUCCUGCAGCGGACAACAUUAGCUAACUAUAGUAAGAAGGUGGAAAACCUGGAUGCUUCAUAAUUUGAAUAUAGAUGCCUUAUGUCAUGAAGUUUCCAUCUGUCAUAUGUCUAUCUUCCUUGAUCUCAUUUUUUU
rnacentral:lncRNA from 1 species